AGCGAACGCUGGCGGCAGGCCUAACACAUGCAAGUCGAACGAACUCUUCGGAGUUAGUGGCGGACGGGUGAGUAACACGUGGGAACGUGCCUUUAGGUUCGGAAUAACUCAGGGAAACUUGUGCUAAUACCGAAUGUGCCCUUCGGGGGAAAGAUUUAUCGCCUUUAGAGCGGCCCGCGUCUGAUUAGCUAGUUGGUGAGGUAAAGGCUAACCAAGGCGACGAUCAGUAGCUGGUCUGAGAGGAUGAUCAGCCACAUUGGGACUGAGACACGGCCCAAACUCCUACGGGAGGCAGCAGUGGGGAAUCUUGCGCAAUGGGCGAAAGCCUGACGCAGCCAUGCCGCGUGAAUGAUGAAGGUCUUAGGAUUGUAAAAUUCUUUCACCGGGGACGAUAAUGACGGUACCCGGAGAAGAAGCCCCGGCUAACUUCGUGCCAGCAGCCGCCGUAAGAC
rnacentral:rRNA from 1 species